rnacentral:rRNA from 1 species
CGGGUUGUAAAGUACUUUCAGCAGUGAGGAAGGCGGGUGUGUUAAUAGCGCAUUCGUUUGACGUUAGCUGCAGAAGAAGCACCGGCUAACUCCGUGCCAGCAGCCGCGGUAAUACGGAGGGUGCGAGCGUUAAUCGGAAUUACUGGGCGUAAAGCGCAUGCAGGUGGUUUGUUAAGUCAGAUGUGAAAGCCCGGGGCUCAACCUCGGAAUAGCAUUUGAAACUGGCAGACUAGAGUACUGUAGAGGGGGGUAGAAUUUCAGGUGUAGCGGUGAAAUGCGUAGAGAUCUGAAGGAAUACCGGUGGCGAAGGCGGCCCCCUGGACAGAUACUGACACUCAGAUGCGAAAGCGUGGGGAGCAAACAGGAUUAGAUACCCUGGUAGUCCACGCCGUAAACGAUGUCUACUUGGAGGUUGUGGCCUUGAGCCGUGGCUUUCGGAGCUAACGCGUUAAGUAGACCGCCUGGGGAGUACGGUCGCAAGAUUAAAACUCAAAUGAAUUGACGGGGGCCCGCACAAGCGGUGGAGCAUGUGGUUUAAUUCGAUGCAACGCGAAGAACCUUACCUACUCUUGACAUCCUCAGAAGAGACUGGAGACAGUCUUGUGCCUUCGGGAACUGAGAGACAGGUGCUGCAUGGCUGUCGUCAGCUCGUGUUGUGAAAUGUUGGGUUAAGUCCCGCAACGAGCGCAACCCUUAUCCUUGUUUGCCAGCGAGUCAUGUCGGGAACUCCAGGGAGACUGCCGGUGAUAAACCGGAGGAAGGUGGGGACGACGUCAAGUCAUCAUGGCCCUUACGAGUAGGGCUACACACGUGCUACAAUGGCGCAUACAGAGGGCGGCCAACUUGCGAAAGUGAGCGAAUCCCAAAAAGUGCGUCGUAGUCCGGAUUGGAGUCUGCAACUCGACUCCAUGAAGUCGGAAUCGCUAGUAAUCGUAGAUCAGAAUGCUACGGUGAAUACGUUCCCGGGCCUUGUACACACCGCCCGUCACACCAUGGGAGUGGGCUGCAAAAGAAGUGGGUAGUUUAACCUUCGGGGGGACGCUCACCACUUUGUGGUUCAUGACUGGGGUGAAGUCGUAACAAGGUAGCGCUAGGGGAACCUGGCGCUGGAUCACCUCCUUA